rnacentral:rRNA from 1 species
UACGGAGGGGGCUAGCGUUGUUCGGAAUUACUGGGCGUAAAGCGCGCGUAGGCGGACCUGCAAGUCGGGGGGUGAAAGCCCGAGGCUCAACCUCGGAACUGCCUUCGAUACUGCGGGUCUCGAGUCCGGGAAGAGGUAGAUGGAAUUCCUAGUGUAGAGGUGAAAUUCGUAGAUAUUAGGAAGAACACCAGUGGCGAAAGGC